rnacentral:rRNA from 1 species
GAUGAACGCUAGCGGCAGGCUUAACACAUGCAAGUCGAGGGGCAGCGGGGAGGAAGCUUGCUUUCUCCGCCGGCGACCGGCGCACGGGUGAGUAACACGUAUGCAACCUGCCCCUGUCAGGGGGACAACCCGCCGAAAGGCGGGCUAAACCCGCGUACAUGCCACCGGGGCAUCCCGGAGGCAGGAAAGGCUUCGGCCGGACAGGGAUGGGCAUGCGGCGCAUUAGUUAGUUGGCGGUGUAACGGACCACCAAGACGACGAUGCGUAGGGGUUCUGAGAGGAAGGUCCCCCACACUGGUACUGAGACACGGACCAG